rnacentral:lncRNA from 13 species
AUGAUAUCUAUGAGGGUGCCCGUGUUUAAGGCUUUGGGGAGGUACCUGGUAGGUUCAUUGAUCAUUUGUGUGAGAUUGAGGGCAUCAAGUUUAGAUUGUAGGAUCAGCAUAUCGAAUCUGGAUCAUUGUUGUUCUAACUUCCGCGGCGCAUAUAAGGCCCUCCCCCGCCCUCCUUUCGGAAAAGCUGACCACGACUCCAUUUGGUUGCUUCCAGCCUAUAGACAGAAACUAAAACAGGAAGCUCCCGCUCUCAGGUCUGUUCAACGCUGGUCCGACCAAUCUGAUUCCACGCUUCAAGAUUGCUUCGAUCACGUGGAUUGGGAUAUGUUCCGCAUUGCGUCAAACAACAACAUUGACAAAUACGCUGAUUCGGUGAGCGAGUUCAUUAGCAAGUGCAUUGGCGAUGUCGUACCCACAGCAACUAUUAAAACAUUCCCCAACCAGAAACCGUGGAUUGAUGGCAGCAUUCGUGCGAAACUGAAAGCGCAAACCACUGCUUUUAACCAGGGCAAGGUGACCGGAAACAUGACCGAAUACAGACAGUGUAGCUCUUCCCUCCGCAAGGCAAUCAAACAAGCUAAGCAUCAGUAUAGAGACAAAGUAGAGUCGCAAUUCAAUGGCUCAGACACAAGAGGUAUGUGGCAGGGUCUACAGUCAAUCAUAGAUUACAAAAAGAAAACCAGCCUCAUCGCGGACCAGGAUGUCUUGCUCCCAGACAGACUAAACAACUUCUUUGCUCGCUUUGAGGACAAUACAGUGCCACUGACACGGCCCGCUACCAAAACCUGCGGACUCUCCUUCACUGCAGCUGACGUGAGUAAAACAUUUAAACGUGUUAACCCUCGCAAGGCUGCAGGCCCAGACGGCAUCCCCAGCCGCGUCCUCAGAGCAUGCGCAGACCAGCUGGUGUGUUUACGGACAUAUUCAAUCAAUCCUUAUCCCAGUCUGCUGUUCCCAAAUGCUUCAAGAGGGCCACCAUUGUUCCUGUUCCCAAGAAAGCUAAGGUAA